AAGUUUGCAUUUUAUUUUUAAAACAUGGUCUUAUUAUUAAUUCAUAUAUUCCUACAAUAUGAAUAUAAUCUUCUUUAAAUAAUGGCAGAAAUUCUGUUUUUACUGAAAAGAAAAUGCUUUUAAAAGUAGUUAACUCAUAUAUCAGCUAUAAAAUUAUUCCCUAAAAAAAUUUAAGCCUAUUUAUUUUUUUAAUUCUUUUAAUAGUUCAUUCAAUUUUGAAUUUGAAUUUUUAGAAUUUUGCGUUUAUUCCCCAUUUAUCUACUGAAAUAAAAUUCAUUAGACUAAAAUAGUGAGAUUUAUUUGCUAGAAAACUAUCUACAAAUUUACUUCAAUAAAAUUUCGCACUUUUUUUUAUAAUUUUUAAUUUUAAUUACGAGUCUAGCAACAAAAAUACCAUUUAUACUUUUACAUAGACAAUCGCUUUAUAAUAGUGUAAAAGAAUUUUUCAAGUAAUAUAUUUACUAUAUAUUAUGCAAUAUAUUGGAAACUGGGUCUCUGGGAAAUAUUUAUCAAUUGACAAUUCUUUUAAAUAAUUAUAAAACUUGACGAUUCUCAAUUAUCAUGUGAAUCUUUAUCAAUAUGUAAAUUUAACAUUUUAAGCUUUUCUUAAAGAGUGUUAAGUAGAAAGGUUAUAAGAUUUAAAUAUUGCAAUUUUUGAAGAUGUUAUAGCUACGUAUCGAUUUCUUAAAAUUUAGAAUUCUUUCAACAAUUAGAUAAAUGGUGAAGGUUUAAUCCAGGCUGAUGCAUGAAAUUAUCCAAUUAAGGUAAUGGACAAACCUGAAUCUUCUGCUUCUUCCGCUGAUGAAGAAAAGAAAAGAAAUCCUGAAGAAAAUAAAUCUGUUGAAGCAUCUAAGCUGGAUGAAAACAAAGUAAACCCCUAAGCAGAAAGCAAACCUGGCCCGUCAUCUCAACGAGUUGGAGCCGAGCUGGAACAAUUUUCUGAACUCAUAAACCCUCUUCAAGCACAGCAUACUGUAGAAAACUCAGAAUCUGCAACUUCUGAAGACGCAUCGGCUAGUUUCGGAAUUCCAACUACUAGUCAAGUAGCACAUAGUUCUGAACCAUUGACUUUUCGGCAAUUUUUCAAUCGAAGCUGUCUUGUAGCUCUUGAUUUGUUCAAACUUGGUAUUUCUUUAUAUAUAAUCACAGUGCUCUGUAUCCCAUAUGUACUAUACAGUUUGUUUAAAUAUGCAACUGGGUUUGGCAAAAGAUCCUAAUCGUAGCAUGUACUAUCUAUUUCGUGUUUUGUUACAAAAACUUAUAUACUUUGAUGUGUUUAUAAAUAAAAUCCUGAUUUUGUUAGUUA